GAUGAACGCUGGCGGCGUGCCUAAUACAUGCAAGUCGAGCGAACAGACGAGGAGCUUGCUCCUCUGACGUUAGCGGCGGACGGGUGAGUAACACGAGGAUAACCUACCUAUAAGACUGGGAUAACUUCGGGAAACCGGAGCUAAUACCGGAUAAUAUAUUGAACCGCAUGGUUCAAUAGUGAAAGACGGUUUUGCUGUCACUUAUAGAUGGAUCCGCGCCGCAUUAGCUAGUUGGUAAGGUAACGGCUUACCAAGGCAACGAGGCGUAACCGACCUGAGAGGGGGAUCGGCCACACUGGAACUGAGACACGGACCAGACUCCUACGGGAGGCAGCAGUAGGGAAUCUUCCGCAAUGGGCGAAAGCCUGACGGAGCAACGCCGCGUGAGUGAUGAAGGUCUUCGGAUCGUAAAACUCUGUUAUUAGGGAAGAACAAAUGUGUAAGUAACUAUGCACGUCUUGACGGUACCUAAUCAGAAAGCCACGGCUAACUACGUG
rnacentral:rRNA from 1 species